UAUUUUGAACGGGGCAGGGUGUAAAUCCCUACCGGCGGUAUAGCCCGCGAACCUUUUAACAUUAAACAUAGUUUUAUGCUUGGAAGGCCGAUCAGGUGAAAUUCCUGAGUCGACGGUGAUGAUUAAUUGUCGUUAUGAUAAUUGUUAAAGUCCGGAUGGUAGUUCAUUGAU
rnacentral:ncRNA from 2 species